rnacentral:rRNA from 1 species
CCUACGGGAGGCAGCAGUGAGGAAUAUUGGUCAAUGGUCGGGAGACUGAACCAGCCAAGCCGCGUGAGGGAUGAAGGUACAGAGUAUCGUAAACCUCUUUUGUCAGGGAACAAAGGCGGGGACGUGUCCCCGGAUGAGUGUACCUGAAGAAAAAGCAUCGGCUAACUCCGUGCCAGCAGCCGCGGUAAUACGGAGGAUGCGAGCGUUAUCCGGAUUUAUUGGGUUUAAAGGGUGCACAGGCGGUUUGUUAAGUCAGCGGUAAAAGCCCGGGGCUCAACCCCGGCCCGCCGUUGAAACUGGCAGUCUCGAGUUGGAGAGAAGUAUGCGGAAUGCGCGGUGUAGCGGUGAAAUGCAUAGAUAUCGCGCAGAACUCCGAUUGCGAAGGCAGCAUGCCGGCUCCACACUGACGCUGAGGCACGAAAGCGUGGGUAUCGAACAGGAUUAGAUACCCUGGUAGUC